rnacentral:lncRNA from 1 species
AUUAAUAGAUAAACUUAAGAACUCAAGAAAAAAAAUAGUUUGUUGUUGUAAAUUGUUCCUCAGCUGGAAGUCCAGACUAAAUAAUCACAUAGUUUCAUUUGUUGACAGUUGCAUUUCCUUAAAUCAAUUAUUCCCAUGAUUUUUCUACAAAAACAGCUUACUGUGACUGUUGGUUUGUUAAUUGUUUUCUAUCUUAUUACUAGCAAUGCCGGCUUGGCUUUCUUCUAAAAUACUGUACAAUCUUCUGAAAAAGCAACAUUAACUGGCCUCCCAUUGAAAAGAAAUCCCCUCUGCCAUCCCAUCUUCUUAAUUGAAGAGUGCACUUUGAAUGCAAUAAAAGAAAUGAAAGAAACAUUGCUUCCCCUUCAUUGAACCCAACAUAAAGCAGGGAAAAAGGACCUAACAUCAGAUGGAGGUCAUUCCUGAGGCUGCCCUGUCUCAUGGUAUUUCAUGAUGUUGAUGGAGGUCCUGAGGUUGGAAGAUCUACAGCCAGCACUCCAUCCCGGAAAAUGGUCCCAUCUGUGAUUGGCAGCCAUGGCCAGAGUGAGUAAUACUGACUAUGAAAUCACUCUGUGAAACUUUAUACUGGGCUUAUUAUUAGUGACUAUUUACAUUUAUUAAAAGUGGG